GCUCCCGUAGUGUAGACCGGCCAAUCAUGCAAGGCUCUCAAUCUUGUGACUCGGGUUCAAAUCCCGGCGGGAGCA
rnacentral:tRNA from 1 species